ACCAUUAGGUCUAUGGGAUAAAUUAUAAAUUUAGCUAAAAUUUGAUUCUAAAUCAGAAGCUGCUGUAAUUCAACAGAGAUACUACUUGUUAGAGAUACUGCACAAAAGUAUUACAAGUUUUCAUCAGAAUACUAUAUUCAGCUCUCGGUGAAUACAACAAGGUGUUGUUAAGGACAACCUGAUAGUCCGGGUCUUGGGAUUCCACAUUGGCAAAAUUGGAAUCGUUAUAAAUCAGUAAACACCAACGAGAAGUUGGUGUUUAGAUUUAUGAUCUGUAACUGGAGUUAAAGAGACGGGGACGGAAUCAUUGGUCUAGGUCUAUAUCCAGGAGACAGGAGCUGACGUCAGACAGAUAGUCAUCGUCAGGGAACUCAAGUGUGAAACCAAGAAUCAAAGAAGAAGAAGAA